rnacentral:lncRNA from 1 species
GACACACCCCGUCCCGAAGGAGGGCAUGCUGGCCGUCACGUGAGAGUGACGUAACCAUUUGCACAAUACGGAAGCUUUAAGAUACAAUUUAUAAGUUGAUACACCCGAAGGUGAGUCCUAAUUUUGUCCAAUCUGUCAGAACACCGUCAAAUUCCUCGUAGUCACCACACCUUUGUGAUUCCUGAACCUGGAGGGGCGCAAAACCAAAAUUGAGUGGGUCAGUAAAACCAUUCUUUUCCAAAUCCAAACAUUUCUCAAAACGUUGUAACCCCUCUCCGUAAAACCCGUAUACUUUCCCAGAAAUGUAAAAUAUAAAUAUACAUAUAUAUUCUCAAGACUUCAAGUCAUUAACUCAACAUUUUCAUCAUAAUUAUGCCAUGCCAAAUCAUCUCAACAUUUCUCAUAUUAAUUAUGCCAUGCCACAUCAUCUCAACAGUAAUAAGGUAUGAAUGCAUCAACAUAAAUCAUAUCAGGUGCAAUAAAGUAAUCAACCGGAGGCCCUCUAUUAGCCCGGUUGAACCUAGAGCUCAAAAUCUAUCACUCUCACGCUCUGCCGGAGUCACUCCGCGUGAUCUGUUCGGCCUUCUGCACACAAGUUACGCUCUAGUGCUUUCUCAUCAAUCAUCUGUGCACAUAAUCUAAGGUCACCCACCAGUCGGAAUCUCACUAACACUCUCGCGACUGGCCUGUCGUACCCACUCCGCGUGGACUGUACGACUAGCAUCUACUUGGAUCCAAGACGAGCGUGCGAUGCGGUGAAUACUAUAAGCACUAAACCAUGGUGCAGGAUUUGAGCUCAAUAUACAUUAACAUCAUCAUAUCAGUAUUUAAAUACUCACCUGAUACUCACUUGUGCGUCCGCCGCACCAUUCAUUCAUAUGCAUCAUAUCUCAAUUUCAUACUUUUCAUAUCAUUUCAUGCAUGGCAAUUCGAUUCACAUUUCUAUAUACUUUUCAUAUACUUUUAUGCAUGGCAUCUCAAUUCACAUUUCAAUAUACUUUUCAUAUAAUUUUAUACAUUGCAUUUAAAGCAUACUUUCCUUCAAUUUCAAUUUCUGGGAAAACGUCAAGUAUAUAUAUAUACGGAAAACAAAACUGCCCACUCACCUGGAGUUCGCCCUACAACUCCCUAGCACAAUACGCCAAGGCGUCAUGACGAUCGGCGCCUAAAACAAUAAUCAAUUCCAACCUCAGAAUUCAUAUCGAUAGAAUAUAUAACUUAUAUAAAAUACGUCACUACGUAGUUCAAUCCGGAAGAUCCACCACUCAGAUUUUAAAUCCAUAACUUCCAGAGGUCCACAAUAUAUCUCUAGGAUAACAUCCUAAAAUUUCAUUACCAUCCAACGGUCGGAUCAUCAAUUCACAUUUUCACCUAAUGCGAAAACUAUAAAACGUUAUUCGAACACCUAACCAACAAUCCUUAAUAACUUUCUCAUACGGUGCUCAACUUGGGUAUAUGAAUAUACCACAGUGAUCUACUCGACGUCACGGACGUCGACAUAUUUUUAAAAUAAUUUUUUACUGUAGCACGCGCCCCCACGCGCCAAGGAAGGCACGGGUCCACGCGCGCCCACGCGCACCUUCUUCCUCGCGGGUUCGCCGGACUGGUUUUUCCGGUGGCCGGAAAACUGGGGAAUUUUCAAAUGCUUCGUUCUCCUUCGUUUCUCAACCAUUUUCUUCGUAUAAUAUAUCAAUUUAAAGCCCUCAACAUGUAGAAUCACAAUAUACUACUUUUAAGCUUCAAAAACAACUAAAUCUCACCGGAAAAAUCCAAGCAAAACCGGCCCAAACUUAACCCUCGUGAUCCCGACGUCCAAAUCCUUCCAACGAAGCACUCCGAGCUUCCUUGGGACCUCACUAAGCUCACUAUGAGCUUGGAUUGUCCUAAAAAUCAACCAAUUCAAAGCUCUCAUGAACAGUACACAUUCACGGCAACUUUAGAAACUAGGGUUUUCGAAGUGAAACUUACCUUAAACUGGUACCUACGUGAUCGUGGAGUCCUCAGGAGUGCAUUGGUGGUUUUAAAUCCGGCGUUGGUAAUAGUUUUAGGUGGUUUUGAUGGUUGCCCGUGUGUUCGAGAGGGUGAGAGAGAGAGAGUGAGGUCUGAGGAAGAGAGAGAGAGUAUGAAGGACAGUAUACGGGAAAUGGGGAGGGAAAUAAGGAAUGGGGAUCCCACGUGGUCCUUUUCCAAUCCCCAACUCUAAACCACAAAAUUUUAACCUAAAAAUCUAAGUUCCAUCCUUAUUAAAUUCCAUUUUAUUUUCAAAACUUAGGAACCUAGAUAAUUAUCAACUUGAGCUUCACAUACUUAGUAUUUCUUAAGGGCAAUUUCGUCCAUUCACAGCCACGAAUGUAAUAUUUUGGAACGGGCUGUGACAAUCUCCCCUCCUUAUAGAAUUUCGUCCCCGAAAUUCCAGCAACCAACUAAAUCAACCAUACUCCAACAAUAGCUUCGGGUAAAUCUCUCUCAUCCGAUUCUCUUUCUCCCACAUAAUUUUCUACUGAAUGAUUUCCUUCACAAAGCUUUUACCACUUACUCUGUCUUAAUUCUCAGGACCUUCUUUUUUCCAAUCCAAAGUCGUCCUUGGUUCCUUAUCAAGUCGAAUCCAAUUUAAUUCUCAAUAGUUGCACUAGAAUCUCAUGUGACGACUCUGCCACCUAGCGACAACGCAUCGAACACAAAAUACAUUAAGUACCGUUGCCCUGUCUGGGAAAAAGUUAUUACUCAGCACUGGAGUAAUUGUACUAACUUGGUACAUUGACCAACUAUCACUUCAAAUUCGAUCAUAACCAUCUUGUGUACAAGGAAGCUUGUACACAUAAUCCAAAGUAAUAUCUUUCCAUUUCCACUGCGAAACAGAAAAUAAUUAUCUCAAUCCAAAGGUUUAUCUCUUUCUGCCUCAAUCUGCUGACCAAAUAAAACUGUCAAAUGGUAUGAUAAAUCUUAUUACUUUUGGAAUAUUUCAGAAGUUGAACAGUGAACUUCGUCCAAUAUUUGCUUGCUUCAAAUCCUCAGCAUUCGGUACAUACUUCUUACUUUCUUGUAUCCACAUACCAUUUGAUUCACGAAUCAUUCUUUUUCUUUUCUUUCCUUGCCUUGGUUAAUUCUUAAAUUCCUCGUCAAACAUUUAAGUUUCGAGUACGACCUUACCAAACAGGCCUAACUUGAAAAUUAACAAGUAUAACUUCUUCUCGAUCUUUCAUUCUUAACUUUACUUUAAUUGAUUUUCAAUCCACGAGAAGAUAAUCUUGGCAAGCGUGCCUGACAUUAAUCUUACUGUAGUCUUCUCACCAAGUGCUUCAGCUAGAACAAUUCUACGAUCACCCUGAUCGUACAAUCAUGUUCAUUAAGCAAUACAAUUCACUUUCGCUGCCUCAUAUCAAAAUCCUUCCAAGUAAUGGAUAUUGAAGACUUUUGGAUUCGUAAAAUCUUGCAUUCUUAUCAACAUUUAAGGUCUCCAUAACUUCACAACAAGGAUGGUAAUCGCCAAUCUUAAAUCACAAGUAGGGUACUUCAUCUCAUGAGAUUCCAUUUGUCAUGAAACAUAUGCCAUCACCCUAACAUUUGUAUCAACAUGCCUCCAAUACCAUUCAAGAAACAUCACUAAAAAUUUAUGAUUACCACUAUCUUCUAGGAUUACUAAAAUACGUGUAUGAGUGAGGAAAUACUUUAGUUGUUGAAUCCCUUACUCACAAUUUCCUUCCCACUUAUACAUAACUCUUUUUCUCAACAGUCUCGUCAAUGACAAAGCAAUGACUGAAAAAUCUUUCACAACCAUCCAAGAUAGCCUGGUAAGUUAAGAAAUUCCAAAUCUCAAUUACGACUCGUGGUUGUUCCAAAUUCUCAAUUUCUGCUAUCUUUUAAGGAUUCACUUGAAUACCUUAAGAAUAUAUAACAAUUCUCAAAAUGCCACUUGAUUCAUUUAACUUUAGCCUUUGCUAAACUUAGCAUACAACCAACGUUCUCUCAAUCUUUGCUUCAUCGACUUAAUACAUUUACAUGCUCUGCUCUGGCUUAGAGUAUACCAGAAUAUCGUCAAUGACAAAUGAUAUCAAUCUAUCAAGGCAUUAUUGGAAUACUUCAUCCAUCAACUCAUAAAACAGCAUGAGUAUCCAUAUAGCAUCACCAAACUUCAUAAAGACUAUAACAAGUCCAGAAAACCAUCUUAUGAUCAACGUCACUUAAAAUAUUCAAUUGGUAGUAACCAGAUCUCAAUUCAAUCUUUGAAUCUUCGCAAUUUACUUCUGAGCUGGUUAAAUAAACAUCAGUACAUCACCAUGGAUAACGGUUCUCAAUCGUUACCCGACUCCAUUGUCUAUAAUCAAUGGAUAGCCUUAAAAAUCCAUUUUCUUCCUCACCAACGAACUGGGGUUCCCCCAAAGCGUUGUACUAGGUUGAAUAAAACUUUUAUCAACCAAUUCUUUCAACUGAAUUUCCAAUUCCCUUAACUCAUCCUGAACCAAUCUCCAAUAUAAAUUUAUAUCUAGCAACAAUUCAAUAGCGAACCUCAUAUCUCUGCCUGAAGGCAAUCCAGGUAUACUUUCAAGGAAGACAUCAAGAAAAGUCUAACCCCUUUUUCAUUUUUUCACACUUCUCCGAGCAACAUCCUUUAGUACCACAUGAACUAAGUAUUUUUGGGCAGCCUUUCAAAACAAUCUCUUUGCUUUCACAGCAUAAAUAAUGGCUGAACUCACUUCACUUUGCAUGCCCACUCAUUAAGGUAACCUCUGAUCAUCCAGAUCGAUGGAAAGUGACUGGUUUCCCAUAACAUUCCAUCUAGUCACAACUAUAAACAAUCAAUCUAAUGGAAUAAAAUUAACUGACCCAAUACAUACUUAUUAUUACUGAACAUUCUAAAUAAGUACAACACUAACAUAAAAUAACCUACCGGUUUGCUUGCUUAACGAAUCCACAAAUGAGUUAUUAAUAUUACGGUCUGCAGCCCGCAAUACUGAUAAAUCAUCGUUGUCUCGAUAAGUAGGCAACCACUCUCAAAGAUAUAACAUACAUAAUAAGAAAUAUAUCAGCCGAAGUCAACUAGAAUGAUCAAUACGGCAGAUUCAACUCUUAUCUCAAUAAUACGUCGGCCGGAUCCACUCCGCGUGGUCGGUACGGCCGAACCUAUAACUCACCAAUUUCUCAUGUGUCAGUCGAAUCCAUUUCUCAUGGUCUGUACGGCUGAACAUAUAACUCAUCAAAUCUCUCUGUACUCACGGUCAAUCCGACCAACUACUAAGUUCAUAAACUUGCUUAAUCGACACUACGAUGUCAUAGAAAACUGUUGGGUACAACUGAUUCUAGGGACGAUUCACAAUUCUGUGUCCCCUCUGUUCACAUAAACACAUUCAUUAAUUUCACACUUCCCAAAGUGUUAAUUUUGUACCUGCUGCACAAAGUACAUUUCCUUUACUCGAGACACCUUGUCUCAAAUAUCUGGGAUUACCAGUAUAUCCAUCACUUUUACUCUGACCAGCGACAUUAAAACCUCAGCUGGAAGAAUUAACUCUAGCUUCACUUCUUUCGAAGCUCUGAAUCUUUCUAUAUCCUUGAUAAGACGAAUCAUUAACUUUAUCGUCUUCUUUUAAUUCCCAUUCAUUUCUUAUUCUUCUUUAUUCUCGUUGAUCAUGUUCUCAGAGUCCUCAAGACUCAAUAGCAUCUCGUAUAUUCCUGGUAAGAAGUAUAAUGGAUAGUGGUCACCCAAAAUACCACUUCCCUUUUUGCCACCCAGCUUAAAACAACAUAACACCUCCACCAAAUUAACAACCAUAUCUGGAUGGAACGAGGCAAGUCUGAAAACUUUCUAUAAUAUCCCUCGAUCAUCACCUUCCUUGUCUCAUAUUUGUAAACUCUUGUUUACUACCAUCGAUAAAUGUCGGAGGGAUAAACUUUUCCUUAAACAAGUCCUUAAACAAUUUUAAAUCGGCUGUUCCUCCGGUGACAACACAUCAUACUCCUGUUUCCACCGGAUACAAAUUCAUACCCAAAACCAGGUAGUCGUCUCGACCCCCUGUCAGAAGGAAAUUUCCUUUGACUUGCAUAAUCUGAAACAUCUUUUCCAAAUGGUUAAACCGUUACUUCGCUCUCUCAGGUUCAUCAUUUCAUAAGGUGAUUCAAGUUCAACUCAUUACCCAUCUUAAAAUGUCCCUUUAGACAAUAGACUGAAACACCAUAGUAAUAGUUUCCCCCCUAAACCGCUAAAUCAGGGAGACUAAGUUCCUCUAACUACGUGGCUUGCUACGAGGCGGUGUAGUUCUGACAGAAUUCACUAGAACUUCUCAAGAUGUCCAAGAUUGCAACCAUACUCUGAUACCAACUGACACACCCCGUCCCGAAGGAGGGCAUGCUGGCCGUCACGUGAGAGUGACGUAACCAUUUGCACAGUACGGAAGCUUUAAGAUACAAUUUAUAAGUUGAUACACCCGAAGGUGAGUCCUAAUUUUGUCCAAUCUGUCAGAACACCGUCAAAUUCCUCGUAGUCACCACACCUUUGUGAUUCCUGAACCUGGAGGGGCGCAAAACCAAAAUUGAGUGGGUCAGUAAAACCAUUCUUUUCCAAAUCCAAACAUUUCUCAAAACGUUGUAACCCCUCUCCGUAAAACCCGUAUACUUUCCCAGAAAUGUAAAAUAUAAAUAUACAUAUAUAUUCUCAAGACUUCAAGUCAUUAACUCAACAUUUUCAUCAUAAUUAUGCCAUGCCAAAUCAUCUCAACAUUUCUCAUAUUAAUUAUGCCAUGCCACAUCAUCUCAACAGUAAUAAGGUAUGAAUGCAUCAACAUAAAUCAUAUCAGGUGCAAUAAAGUAAUCAACCGGAGGCCCUCUAUUAGCCCGGUUGAACCUAGAGCUCAAAAUCUAUCACUCUCACACUCUGCCGGAGUCACUCCGCGUGACCUGUUCGGCCUUCUGCACACAAGUUACGCUCUAGUGCUUUCUCAUCAAUCAUCUGUGCACAUAAUCUAAGGUCACCCACCAGUCGGAAUCUCACUAACACUCUCGCGACUGGCCUGUCGUACCCACUCCGCGUGGACUGUACGACUAGCAUCUACUUGGAUCCAAGACGAGCGUGCGAUGCGGUGAAUACUAUAAGCACUAAACCAUGGUGCAGGAUUUGAGCUCAAUAUACAUUAACAUCAUCAUAUCAGUAUUUAAAUACUCACCUGAUACUCACCUGUGCGUCCGCCGCACCAUUCAUUCAUAUGCAUCAUAUCUCAAUUUCAUACUUUUCAUAUCAUUUCAUGCAUGGCAAUUCGAUUCACAUUUCUAUAUACUUUUCAUAUACUUUUAUGCAUGGCAUCUCAAUUCACAUUUCAAUAUACUUUUCAUAUAAUUUUUAUACAUUGCAUUUAAAGCAUACUUUCCUUCAAUUUCAAUUUCUGGGAAAACGUCAAGUAUAUAUAUAUACGGAAAACAAAACUGCCCACUCACCUGGAGUUCGCCCUACAACUCCCUAGCACAAUACGCCAAGGCGUCAUGACGAUCGGCGCCUAAAACAAUAAUCAAUUCCAACCUCAGAAUUCAUAUCGAUAGAAUAUAUAACUUAUAUAAAAUACGUCACUACGUAGUUCAAUCCGGAAGAUCCACCACUCAGAUUUUAAAUCCAUAACUUCCAGAGGUCCACAAUAUAUCUCUAGGAUAACAUCCUAAAAUUUCAUUACCAUCCAACGGUCGGA